rnacentral:rRNA from 1 species
UACGGGGGGGGGCAAGCGUUGUUCGGAAUUACUGGGCGUAAAGGGCCAGUAGGCGGCCAACUAAGUCCGACGUGAAAUCCCCAGGCUUAACCUGGGAACUGCGUCGGAUACUGGAUGGCUUGAAUUCGGGAGAGGGAUGCAGAAUUCCAGGUGUAGCGGUGAAAUGCGUAGAUAUCUGGAGGAAUACCGGUGGCGAAGGCGGCAUCCUGGACCGAGAUUGACGCUGAACGGCGAAAGCUAGGGGAGCAAACAGG